rnacentral:rRNA from 1 species
UGCAAGUCGAGCGGACAGAUGGGAGCUUGCUCCCUGAUGUUAGCGGCGGACGGGUGAGUAACACGUGGGUAACCUGCCUGUAAGACUGGGAUAACUCCGGGAAACCGGGGCUAAUACCGGAUGCUUGUUUGAACCGCAUGGUUCAAACAUAAAAGGUGGCUUCGGCUACCACUUACAGAUGGACCCGCGGCGCAUUAGCUAGUUGGUGAGGUAAUGGCUCACCAAGGCAACGAUGCGUAGCCGACCUGAGAGGGUGAUCGGCCACACUGGGACUGAGACACGGCCCAGACUCCUACGGGAGGCAGCAGUAGGGAAUCUUCCGCAAUGGACGAAAGUCUGACGGAGCAACGCCGCGUGAGUGAUGAAGGUUUUCGGAUCGUAAAGCUCUGUUGUUAGGGAAGAACAAGUACCGUUCGAAUAGGGCGGUACCUUGACGGUACCUAACCAGAAAGCCACGGCUAACUACGUGCCAGCAGCCGCGGUAAUACGUAGGUGGCAAGCGUUGUCCGGAAUUAUUGGGCGUAAAGGGCUCGCAGGCGGUUUCUUAAGUCUGAUGUGAAAGCCCCCGGCUCAACCGGGGAGGGUCAUUGGAAACUGGGGAACUUGAGUGCAGAAGAGGAGAGUGGAAUUCCACGUGUAGCGGUGAAAUGCGUAGAGAUGUGGAGGAACACCAGUGGCGAAGGCGACUCUCUGGUCUGUAACUGACGCUGAGGAGCGAAAGCGUGGGGAGCGAACAGGAUUAGAUACCCUGGUAGUCCACGCCGUAAACGAUGAGUGCUAAGUGUUAAGGGGGUUUCCGCCCCUUAGUGCUGCAGCUAACGCAUUAAGCACUCCGCCUGGGGGAGUACGGUCGCAAGACUGAAACUCAAAGGAAUUGACGGGGGCCCGCACAAGCGGUGGAACCAUGGUGGUUUAAUUCGAAGCAACGCGAAGAACCUUACCAGGUCUUGACAUCCUCUGACAUCCUAGAA